GAUGAACGCUGGCGGCGUGCCUAAUACAUGCAAGUCGAGCGAACAGAUAAGGAGCUUGCUCCUUUGACGUUAGCGGCGGACGGGUGAGUAACACGUGGAUAACCUACCUAUAAGACUGGGAUAACUUCGGGAAACCGGAGCUAAUACCGGAUAACAUAUUGAACCGCAUGGUUCAAUAGUGAAAGGCGGCUUUGCUGUCACUUAUAGAUGGAUCCGCGCCGUAUUAGCUAGUUGGUAAGGUAACGGCUUACCAAGGCAACGAUACGUAGCCGACCUGAGAGGGUGAUCCGCCACACUGGAACUGAGACACGGUCCAGACUCCUAAGGGAAGCAGCAGUAGGGAAUCUUCCGCAAUGGGCGGAAGCCUGACGGAGCAACGCCGCGUGAGUGAUGAAGGUCUUCGGAUCGUAAAACUCUGUUAUCAGGGAAGAACAAAUGUGUAAGUAACUGUGCACAUCUUGACGGUACCUGAUCAGAAAGCCACGGCUAACUACGUG
rnacentral:rRNA from 1 species